rnacentral:rRNA from 1 species
AUUGAACGCUGGCGGCNGGCCUAACACAUGCAAGUCGAGCGGAAACGAUGGAAGCUUGCUUCCAGGCGUCGAGCGGCGGACGGGUGAGUAAUGCAUAGGAAUCUGCCCGAUAGUGGGGGAUAACCUGGGGAAACCCAGGCUAAUACCGCAUACGUCCUACGGGAGAAAGCAGGGGAUCUUCGGACCUUGCGCUAUCGGAUGAGCCUAUGUCGGAUUAGCUAGUUGGUGAGGUAAUGGCUCACCAAGGCCGCGAUCCGUAGCUGGUCUGAGAGGAUGAUCAGCCACAUCGGGACUGAGACACGGCCCGAACUCCUACGGGAGGCAGCAGUGGGGAAUAUUGGACAAUGGGCGAAAGCCUGAUCCAGCCAUGCCGCGUGUGUGAAGAAGGCUUUCGGGUUGUAAAGCACUUUCAGUGAGGAGGAAAACCUUACGACUAAUACUCGUGAGGCUUGACGUUACUCACAGAAGAAGCACCGGCUAACUCCGUG